UAGGGAAUCUUCCGCAAUGGACGCAAGUCUGACGGAGCAACGCCGCGUGAGUGAAGAAGGAUUUCGGUUCGUAAAACUCUGUUGUUAGAGAAGAACAGCGCAUAGAGUAACUGUUAUGCGUGUGACGGUAUCUAACCAGAAAGCCACGGCUAACUACGUGCCAGCAGCCGCGGUAACACGUAGGUGGCAAGCGUUAUCCGGAUUUAUAGGGCGUAAAGCGAGCGCAGGCGGUCAAUUAAGUCAGAUGUGAAAGCCCCCGGCUCAACCGGGGAGGGUCAUUGGAAACUGCUUGACUUUAGUGCAGAAGAGGAGAGUGGCAUUCGAUGUGUAGCAUUGAAAUGCGUAGUUAUAUGGAGGAACACCAGUGGCGAAGGCGACUCUCUGGUCUGUAACUGACGCUAAGGUUCGAAAGCGUGGGUAGCGAACAG
rnacentral:rRNA from 1 species